rnacentral:lncRNA from 1 species
UGUACGAGUGAGGAAGCUGCACAGGGACACAGUGUGAGGACCACAUAGCACAGAGCAGACAUAUAUCACAGCGUGCUGCAGAGCACAGCGCAGGAACAUGCUUCACAUGUGCAGAGCCCCUCCCCCCUCCCAUUUAUCUCUGUUUAACCCCUAUGGAAUCUCAAACAAGAGCCCCCCCCCCCCCCCCCCCACCUUUGCUUCCCUUACAACACUCCCUCUUUAUGUUCCAGGCAACACACACACAAUGAGUUCACACACACACACACACACACACAUGGCCAUACACCACAGCUACACACCCCCUUUCAGUGAGAUCACAUUCACUUCUGAGCAGUUGCAGCACGUCUGAGCCCCCUUUGGCAUUUUCUGCUGAUUCCUCCGCACGCUGAGACACUUAGCCGUCCGACCCAGGACCAACACGUCCCAUCUGCAGGCGUUCGGAGGACAGGAACAGGACAGGUCACGCACCCUCAAUACCACACAGCAGCCCCACCACAGACAUGUCGGACUCCGAAGCCGCCGCCGCCCCUGCUGAGGCCCCCGUCCCUGCUCCUUGUGCCAGCAUCAAGGCUGACCUGGACAAAUGGUCCACUGCACUGAGUCCUCCAAGUUCCCAGCAUUCCCUUCUGCACAACAGCACUGGACUGAAUGAUGACAACAAUGAUGAUGAUGAUGAUGAUGAUGACAAUAAUAAUAAUAGCGUGACAAACUCUGUGUUGAUUCGGGCUGAGUUUGGGAUCUGGCUGCACCAACAGUGAACAGAAGAGGGAGCCAAAGCCACAACUCUCACCUAACGUCACUCCUUUCUGAUUGUUAAAGUUCACAGUAAAGAUGUCACCAGCGUACAGUGUGUGUUCUGUCAGCUGUCAACACACGAAAGAACAAACACAGUAUUUCUGUCUGACACUGCAGAGAAGAGCC